UAACCAAAUAGGUAAACUGUGAUGUGACUAAUCAAAAUUAUAUGUGCCAAGUUCCAUGUGUAAAUAGCCCCUCCGCUUCCCUUCAUUGAAUGGGGCGCAGUUGUUUCAUAAUUCCCAAUGCGUUCAAAAGAAAGCAGUCUGAAAAGCCCUAUAAGGAUUGACCAUGACUCCACAGCCAAAGUUCUAUGGUUUUCAUUCUUUGCCGAAGGACCGGAGAAUCCGGAAUGGCUUGUAGGAGUUCGUCGGUCCCAAUGUUUGCACCAGUAAGGCUAGCUUGGUGUGCAACGACCGGGGGUGCCCCUCCCAGUCAACACCACCUCAUAUGAGGAAGUGCAUUGUUUAUAAGGAUUGCCUGCUGCAGUUGUUUGGGAGAUAUUCAGUUUGCAGCUGAACAUGCAGCAAGGGGACCCUCAGCAUCACGCAGACAUGCCCUCACUUUGAGCAUUGCUAUGAAUGGAACAGGAAGGACACUUGAAUCAGUAUCUUUGAUGAGGGGCCAGGAGCUACUCUGCCAUGCCCAUCAAGGGGGCACUGGCAAAUUCCUUACCUCCAGCCUCACCUCCUGCCUGCUCACCAACGGUCGUUGAUGGGGAGACCAGAAUUAAAUACAUCUAUGGAGACAGAUCUUCAAGACUUGCAAGAUGAUGUGAUGAAGUUGAGACCGACAGACUGGCUUGAUAUUGAUGUCUCUGGAUGGAGAGAGACCUGGCAUGCAGCACAUCCACAAUAUGGGACUGAAGGGGAUUACUAAUGAUACAGUACAGUAGUAAUGUCCAGCAUUUGCAACACUCUUUUCGUUAUGUGUCACUGAUUAACUUUUCCUCAACUCUGCCUAUUUAUACAGAUGGAGAGAACUACAGAUGCUUUUGCCAAAUGCCAGACCUGUUCAAACAUCAACAUAGUACCUGUUUGUGUGUCAGAUAUUACCCAUCCUAACUGCCAUUGGUAAUAGAACAGUGACUAUGUGUGUGUGUGUUCUCAGAAAUAUAAAAAGAGCCAGCACAGAGACUUGCAAGAUGAUGUCCAGACUGACAGGCGUUAUACUGAUGUCACUGAAUUGAGAGAGACCUGGUACUCGGCAUUAACAUUUUACUAGACACAACUUUUACUUGAAUUGUAUUUUUUUAAGUUAUUGAAUUGAAUGGUGUCAGUCAAUAUGGGGAGGGAGAAACCCUGUGUAUUCUGCACCAUGAUCAGGGAACUGUUGUAUACAGGACACCACACAGGAAGGUAUGGCCACUGACAUGUUUGCCAAGGUACUUACCACCUAACAAAAUGCCGAUAGGCACAGUAUCUGUAUCGGCUGGGAAUGACAAUGAAACGUGAAAGGUCACUUAGUUAAAUUAGCAGAACACUGCGUCUAUGGUAUUAUGUAAAGGGUUGUUUGUUCUACAUGGACCUGCUACUACAUUUGAAAGUUAUUAAAACACUUUGUUUAUAAUACGUACAUACAUUCAGGAGGCUACUGACCUAUUCAAAGCAUCUCACCAUACAUCUGCCUGUAGUUAUUGUAUAACUCAACCUGCAGGAGGUUUCCCACUGGGCACAGACGCCAGUUCAACGUCUAGUUUUUAUUUACAUUUGGUUGAGUUGUCAACUAAUGUGAAUUCAA